CAAUAUCAGUUGGGUUCCUCUUGCCUUGGCCUGAGGUUCCUGGCUGUGAGGGGUGGCUUGAAAACCUCUUAAGCAUUUUUUCUGAAGACAGACUGCUAGCUGGCUUGCUGGCUGCAGACUGAUCUAAUAAUGACAACUCUCAACAACGGAUAUCUUGGCUCCCGUAACGAUGAAGAACGCAGCGAAAUGCGAUACGUAGUGUGAAUUGCAGAAUUCCGUGAACCAUCGAAUCUUUGAACGCAAAUUGCGCUUGAGGCUUCGGCCAAGAGCAUGUCUGGCUCAGCGUCGGCUUACUACCCUCAAUGAAUUCCCUUGUGGACACUGAUUGGAGCUGGCUUUCCGGUUUUCCGACUAGGUUGCCGGUCAGCUGAAAAACAUUCGCGCUAUGGGAGCUGCUUUCCCUUCAAAAAGGAAAGCCGAGUUCCGAUUUGGUAGGUGACCUUUGCCGGUUGCAUGCCUUCGUUGCUCGCC
rnacentral:rRNA from 1 species